rnacentral:rRNA from 1 species
CACGUAGGGCGCAAGCGUUGUCCGGAAUUAUUGGGCGUAAAGGGCUCGUAGGCGGUCUGUUGCGUCGGGAGUGAAAUCUUACAGCUUAACUGUGAACUUGCUUUCGAUACGGGCAGACUUGAGGUAUUCAGGGGAGAACGGAAUUCCUGGUGUAGCGGUGAAAUGCGCAGAUAUCAGGAGGAACACCGGUGGCGAAGGCGGGUCUCUGGGCAGUGAACUGACGCUGAGGAGCGAAAGCGUGGGGAGCGAACAGG